CUCCUGAGUGCUGGGAUUAAAGGCGUGCGCCACCACGCCCGGCUUUCAUUUUGUUUUUUCAAGCAAGAACCUCUGAUUAGUAAAUGAAGACCUGGACUGUCAACUGGCUAAGGAAAAUGCUGCCCUUGAGGCUAUAGAAGAAACUGAAAGUAAAACCCAAGCCCCCAGAAUCUUAUUUUUGUGCUUUUUUCCCCCAUGAAUUACUCUAGAGAAAAGGCAGGCAUAGUUCGUACAUCCUUGAAGAUACAGUUUUCUGAUCUGUAAAAAAGUUGGGAUUGCUGUUCUUCCCUUAUAGGAUAGUAAUGACGAUGGCAUUGCAUCCCGGGAUGCAUGUGGAGUACGAGGCCUGUUCAAAUACUAUCCUUUUCUGUAAAGGGGAUCCCGAGGAAAUUGGAAGGUGUAUGUAGGGAUCAACAAACAGUGCACUUUCCCAGAGCACAGAGCUCUAAGCACACAGGGUUAGGUGCAUGGACCAAGUGUUGGUGAGAAGAGGAAGUGGGCUGCUUUGGGGACUGACUUGGAAGUAUGAUUUUAUCUAUUUUUCUUUCUUUCUUUUUCCUUCUGGCAUUUUAUCUUACAUCUUCUUUCUAGCUUAUUUUUUUAACAUAAUUUUUACUGAAUCUUUGUGAUUUUUCACGUCAUACACUCUAAUCCCACUCAUUUCCUAGUCCUUCCAUAUCUGCCCUCCACCUUUGUAAUUACACUCACACAAAAGGAAAUUUAAAAAAAAACAAAAUAAAUAUUAGAAAAUAAAAGGGAAAACAAGCAAACACCAUCUUGCUGAGCCCUCUGGUCAGUGAUCUAUCUGCUCCUCCAGCAGCAGCAGCAGCUGUACCAUUCUGCUUGUGUCUUUCCUGCCUCUCCAUCACAUAUUCGUUUGCCAUAGCAGCACUGGAAGUUGUGGUGGAUCACACAGUAGUUUGCCCAAACAGCUUUACUUGGGAAUGUUCAUUGGCAUGAGUCAUUAGCCUAGUUCAAGGCCUCUGGUUUCUAGUACAGCAUCAAUGCUAAACCUUGUCUGAGACGCCACUCAGAUAUCCUGUUGUUGCCCUAUGCCAUGGAGAUCCUGCAGCUUUGGCUCUGCAGAACUCAUGCACUUCAGCAGCUCAUAGAUGAGGAAAAUGUUGGGGUGGGCCUAUUCAAAGUCUUGGAUCUAGGCCUGGGUGGUAGUUAAGUUGGUCUGCCCACCAGCCUACACCACUGGAGCUAGCUCUCUCUGUGGCCAGGUGAAAGCUGCAGCCAUCUAGGACUAGCUCACCCAUACCACUCGAGCAAGGGGUAGGACCAGCUUUCCCAAACCCAAAUCACUGCUGGCACCAACCAUGCACUGGACAAUGAAGGGCAAAGGCAGGUCAGUUCUGCCCUCUGACAUCAACAUGGCUUCAGGCUCAAGUAGAGACUCUGGACAUGCACAUAGCUUUCAGUGAUAACAUGAGCCGCAGCAUCAACAUAGACCCCUGUUGCAGAAGGGCCAUGGGCCCAGAUGUGGUCUUCAACAGAAUGGGUCCAGACAUCACCAUACCCUGAGGCCUCUCCGGGCGGGCUGUUCCUCAGCACUGUCUCUAGUUCCACCUCUCUUCAUAGCUCACAAAGUGCGCCGCAUCUCUCCACCAUAUAUUUAUUUGCUUCCUCCACGCCCCACCCCCGCCCCAUGUCUCAGUGCAUGUUUCCGCCGUGCUUGCUAUAGUUUUCUCCCCGCCCCCUCCCCAUCUCUCUCUCUCUCUCUUGUUAAUUGUGUUUGUUUCUGUUGUGAACCUUCAGGUGUUUUCUUUUAUAUUUUAAUAUUCUGUUUAGAUAAACAAGUUAUCUAAAACAAUUCAGAUAAACCAAAUUAAAACAGUGCAGAACUGUGAGUUCAGUGGUGGGGUGAUGAGUAUUUCUACGAAUUCCUUGGCCUCACCUGUCUUCUGACUUGUGUUUCUAGUGCUUUCCUCUAGCUUCAACACCUAGGAACCAUGGGAGCUCACAACCAUCUGUAACUCUACUUCCCGAGGAUCCAACACCCUCUUCUGGCCUAUGUGUUCACAUGAUUGCCAUUCUUGCAUCUGGGAGGCAAGGCAAGGGGAUAUUGAGUAUAAGGCCAGACUGGGAUACAUAGUGUACCUUUUUAUUUGUAUGUUUUACGUAGUACAACAUCUGACUAGAUUUACAUGUUUCCAUGUACAUUUAGUAUGCUUUAGUACUUUGUUUUGCCUUAGGAUGAUUCCUUGGCUUUUCUGUGUUCCUACAGUACAUCACCACUUGAUCCCUCCAUGUAAUUUCUCUAUCAAGGAAUUGGGACCUCUACAUAGAAUCUACAGGCUCCCUGGGGUUCAGGAUGCUGACCUGGUCUCUGGUGGGGUAAGGAGGCUUCCGCCAGAGAUGUGGGCCAGGAUAUGGUGAUUUUAUUCGCUUUUCUAAUAGCACUUGCAUCAUAUCCGGUCACUCGUCCUCCUGGGGCUCUAUUUCGCUCAGAACCACUGUUGCUAUGCAACAGCCUGCCUCUGAGCUCAGAGCAUGAUUCAGGGAAACUGGUACAAGCACUGCAGUCUUGGCAUCCUGGACACCGGAUAUCAGAAAGUGGGUGGGGAGGAUGUGCGGGAAGCCUUAUAAAGGAUUCUAUUUUGUAUUGGUGGAGGGCUUCCUAGAAGGGAUCAUAUCUGUAAGUGACACUAUGUUGGAACACAGUGGGAAAGUUGAUAGUCAAUAAAUAUAUAAGACAGCAGUACCAAAAGAAACGUGUUUAAUGCAUAUGUAACAUUUGGGAAACAGAACUGGCCAUACACUUCCACUCUAUACUGUUUUGUGUAUUAUUUUAAGGACUAUGAUCUGUUUUCCUUCUCAAAAAUUAGGGGCAGACUAUUUAAGAAGAGCAAAAAUAAUCUUCUCUCGACAGGUCUCAGGUGAGCACUCAGAUAAUCCUGGGAGGGAACUGGAGCACUGACUUAACUAUGUGAGCCAGAAUUUAUUAUUUUUUUUUCUAGACAGGGUUUCUCUGUAUAGCUCUGACUGUCCUGGAACUCACUCUGUAGACCAGGUUGGCCUCGAGCUCAGAAAUUCGCUUGCCUCUGCCUCCCAAGUGCUGGGAUUAAAGGUGUGCGCCACCACGCCCAGCCCAGAGCCAGAAUUUUUUAAAAAUUUCAUUCACUGGUAGAAAUCCUUCUACAUCCAUCAUGUUUGGAAUCUCUAAACCCAAAGAUAAGAGGUUCAGCAUCUAUCCAAUAGGAAAAAGAAACUGAACCUGUGUGUGUAUAUGUGGUUAUCGAAUUUAAGACCCAGAAAAUAUAGCACAUACAAUGUCAUGUUUCAGUUAUAGUGAAACACACACAUACACACAAAACAAAUAUGCACACAAACUGUUUACAUUAUUAAUUUUCUGUGCUUUGGGGGAUUGAACCCAGGUCUUUAUACAUUCUAGGCAAGUGCUCUACCACUGUUGUAUAUGCCUAGUCCUGAAACAAUUAAUUUACUUAUUUUUCCCAUGAAAAAUAUGGUUUGUACCUAUUGCAAAAAUAGUAGCUGUAUCUGUGUGCCAUUAUCAUGAACCCACACAUUUAUUCUGUAAAUUCUUAUUUUAUAUAUUUUCCUGAUUUAUAAUCUUUAAAUAUAGCGUAAUGGAUGUUUAUAAAACAAAAGAUAUGCAUAUGUAUAUACAAUAAUUUAUAUACCUGUAAGACAGAAAUGAUCAAUAAACAAGGUAGCAUUUAUUUUUUCACACACACACACAUACAUACAUACACACAUGCAUACAUACAUAUAUACCAUGUUUUGGUUGUGAGAACAGUUGAAAUAUACUUUGACCUACAUAUGCAGCUAGAGACAUAAGCUCUGGGGGUACUGGUUAGUUCAUAUUGUUGUUCCACCUAGAGGGUUGCAGACUCCUUCAGCUCCUUGGGUACUUUCUCUAGCUUCUCCAUUGGGGGCCCUGUGUUCCAUCUAAUAGAUGACUGUGAGCAUCCACUAGUUGGCCAUCACUGGGAAGAGAGGCCCCUUGGUCAUGCAAACUUUAUGUGCCGCAGUAUAGGGGAAUGCCAAGGCCAAGAAGUGGAAGUGGGUGGGUAGGGGAGCAGGGUGGGGGGAGGGUAUAGAGAUCUUUCGGGAUAGCAUUUGAAAUGUAUAUAAAGAAAAUAUCUAAUAGAAAGAGAGAGAGAGCGAGAGAGAGAGAGACAGAGAGAGAGAGAGAGAGAGAGAGAGAGAGAGAAAGUAUACUUUGACCAAAUUUCCAAAUUAUACUACAUUUUUGAAGCUUUUUUGUUUUGUUUUUUGACUUUUUGGGGAGUUGUUGUUUUUUGUUUUUUUGUUUGUUUUUUUUUUUUUUUGAGACAGGGUCUCACUAUUAACUAUCCAGAAACUCUAUGCAGAUCAAGUUGGCCAUUAACUCACAGAGAUUUAAUUACAGUAUAAUAAUGCUAUGUCUAGCAUAGUUAGGCUAAUCUUGGAUAGGUGCAGUUUUGUACUCUUUAAUCAGUUUCUCCUUCUACCACCCCUGGUAAUAUUACCAGCCCUAGUUGAUGAGAAGUUGGUCAAUGAAAUGACCACAUUUAUUUUUGUUUAUUUUUAUUAUUUUCUUCCUUCUUUCCUUCCUUCCUUCCUUCCUUCCUUCCUUCCUUCCUUCCUUCCUUCCUUCCUUCCUUCCUUUUUUGUUUUUGUUUUUGUUUGUUUGUUUUUCCAGACAGAGUUUCUCUGUGUAGCCCCUGCUUUCUUUUAACUCACUCUGUAGACCAGGCUAGCCUCAAACUCAGAAAUCUGCCUGCCUCUGCCUCCCAAGUACUGGGAUUAAAAGCGCUUGCCACCACUGCCCAGCUUAAUUUUUCUUUUUUAAUUAAACCAAAACAGGGGAAUGUUAACAUUCUGUCUAAACUCCACCCUACAGUUACGUGGAGCAACUGUCAAGUAUGCUCCUCCCCACAGUUACCUGGCAACAGCCAGGUAGGCCUGACCUACUAUAAAAGGGGCUGCUUGCCCCCUCCUCACUCUCUUGCCUCCCUCUCUUACUCUUGCUUUCUGCUUGCUUCUCUCUUGCCCUCUAUCACAUUAUUAUUACAUGUUAUAAAUACACGUUGUCAUUACAUGAGUUACUACAUUAGUACUGUAAUUAACAUGAGGGUGCAGACAUUUUUGUUAUUUAGUGAUGUCAUAUCUUUUGGAUAGAGAAUUGGACUGCUAGUAAUUCUGUACUUAAUAUGUAUUAAGCCCCAUAUUGCUUACAUACUGUCCAGAUAAAUCUACAUUUCCAUCAACAGUUUGGAAGGGUUCUGUUUUCACCACAUCCUUGCAAACCUUUAUUACAUAUAAUUCUUGACAUUAGCUAUAGAAGCAGAUAUGAGAUGUUAUUUGGUUUUGAUUUUUAUUACCAUUUUCUUGGUUCUUAGUGAUGAUGCAUAUUUUUUCACAUGCUUUCUUUCCAUAUCUAUGUCCUUUUGAAAAAAAUAUUUCUUAAGGUUCUUUGCUUACGUAUUUUAGAAUUAGGUGAUGUUAAACAUGUCUCUUAAAAGUUUUUGCUUAUAUAUUGUAAAAUUAGGUGAUUUGGCUUUUGUUGCAUGCAUGUGUGUGUGUGUAUACUUGUAUAUAGUAGCAAUAUACAAGUAUAUUCUUAUAGAUAGAAUUUACAAGUAUAUUCUCUCAUUUUAAAGGUACAGUUUUUAAUUUUAUUGGUUAUCUUUGAUUUUUUAUUGGUAUACUCUUGCUUGUUUGUGCCAAUGACUUUAGUGCCACUUCUGCCAAUAUUAAGGAACAUCCUACAUGUUCUUCUAUGAGUUGUAAAUUGUCAGGUAUUAAGUUGAUAUCUUCUUUGUUAUGUUUGGUGUUUCUGUUUUGUGAUACUUUCUAUAUGCUAAACAAGCAAUCUAUCAGUGAAAUAUACCACCUAGCACUUUAUCUUUAAUCUACUUUAAAUUUUUGGGAGGGGGCAUAGUGCAAUUUAGGGAUCCAAAUUCUCAAAAAGAAUUUCAUUAUUUUGUAUGUAACUAUCCAGUUUUCUCAGCAACAUUUAGUGAGGAGACAAUUUUUUCUCAAUUGUGUUCUUGGCAGGCUUGUCCAACAUUAUUAACCAUCAGAAGAAGGCAGAACAAAGCUACUUUAAGGUUCUGUGUCACACUAGACAGACUUGCAUUCAUCAAGAAAUCAAAUAACAAAAGAUGGUGUAAGGAUGUGGGGGAGAAGGCGCUCGUAUUCACUGUUGGUGGGAGUAUAAACAGGAACAGCCACUGGGUGCUUUGAAUGAGAAUGGUCCCCACAGGCUCUUAUCUUUGAAUAGUUGUUUCCCAGUCGUUGGAACUGAUUGGGAAAGAUUAGCUGAGCUCUGGUUGGAGGAGUGUGUCACCAGGGGUAGGCUUGGGCUUUCAAAGGACUCAAAUGUCACUCUCAUUAUGCUCUCCACUUCCUGUCUGAAGAUCUAAAAGUGAGCUCUCAGCUGCAGCUCCAGCACCAUACCUCCUUGCUUGCAUGCGUGCCUGCUGCUAUGCUCCCAUGCUAUGAUGGUCAUGGAUCCCAAUCCCUCUGGAACUGUAAGACCCAAUAAAAGUUUCCUUCUAUAAGUUGCUUUGGUCAUGAUGAUUUAUCACAGCAACAAAAAUGUUACUAAUAUAGACCCAUUAUAAAAAUCAGUGUCGGGGUUGCUCAAAAAGUUAGAUAUAGAAAUACUGUAUGAUUCAGUUAUACCACUCCUUGAUAUAUUCAAAGAGUUUGACACCCUAUGACAGAGAUACGUGUUCAACCAUGUUCCUAGAUAUUUAUAUAGCUAGGAAAUGGAUUCUGCCUUGAUGUCCAUCAAAUAAUGAAUGGAAAAAGAAAAUGUGGUGCAUAUACACAGUGAAAUUUUAUUCAGUGGCUAAAAAGUGAAUUGCAGGUAAAUAGACAGAGUUCAGGAAAAAAUAUACUGAGAGAGAAACCAUGGGCCCCAAUAGAUGUAUGUUUUUUCUCAUAUAUGCACCCUAAUUUUAAAUCUUUAGAUUUGUGUGGUUAACUUGGAAGUCCUUUAGCAGCAAGGAAAGAAGACAAUGGCCAUAUUGUGGUGAGUAUGAUUUAAGGGGCAAGGGAAGGAUGCCAGAAUAUAAGUUAUAUGAGAUUAGGGGAAGAUAAUGGGCGUGAAAAGGUUUAAUCGGGUAUGGGUGAAGGGAAGGGGACGUUGGGAGCAUUAACCAACAAGAUCAGUAUAUGAAAAACAUAUGGAAACCUACUAUUUUAUAAGCUAACUAAAACAAAAGUUAAAAAGAAGACAUGAUAGAGAUCCUUCAGGGCUGGAUAAUGCUGAUUCUAAACAGCCUUGAAUUAUUAAAAAAAAUCCCAAUGCCAGGUAUAGAAUACUCUCUUAUGAGCUGUUGACCGGGAAGGCCACGGAAGUCUCUUUGCAUUCCUCUUGGUUGCCCACAGAAUAGAUGAUAAAGCCCCAUUACUUUAGUUGCAAGAGAAAGUAGAGCUGGAAAUGAACUUAAAGCAUCCUUCCUGUUAGCCAGCCUUCAUUAUGUCAGGGGCUGUACAGGCUGCUAGGGGAGAAAAUAGAUCGGCAGUCUAACCUACCUGUGAACCUUCAGAGCUACAGUACUAAUUAACCUGCUAGGUAAAAAUGCGCGCACUGGUGUAACAGCAGCACAACUGAAAUGGUUAGGUUUGAGGCAAGCUCAGCAGGAAGGAUUUCAAACCUGGAACUGUAAAUCUCAUCAAAAUCCCGUGGUUGGGGAUGUCAUGGUUCCCAGUGAGGAACUUAUUACAGUUGUUUGUUUAAAUUGCCAUGGCAUCAAACUGCCUUGUAAACAUCUAUGCUUUUCCCCCUAGAUAAAGCCUACCUUUAGCCUUUAUCAGAGAAGCCUCUCUUUUCAGUGCGGUGGGGGAUACCAACAACAAGAUUUCCAUAAAUAGCAUCAAGUUCAUCCUCCCAGAAUAUGACAUUUUAAGUUCUAUAUUCAUAGACUCACAUUGUUCUCCUUCUCAGCUCAGCCCCAUGAAGCCACUGAUCUAUGAUUACAAAUUAUGUUUCAUUUUUCUGGAAUUCUAUAUAAAUGGAAACACAGAGGCUGAAUUUUUUUCAAUGAGGAACUUAUUUUAUAAAAGUUUAUACAGCUAUAAUACUUUGGGUUUUUACAUAUGUACAAUUUAUUGUGAUUAUCCUCACUUCCCAUUAUCCUGUAUUAUUCCUUUUUCUUUCCUUCCGAACUUCUUUCCAAUUUGUCCUUCAGGGUUUGUGAGAAAAAGACACUCCAUCCCAGAGCAACCAUUAUGUUUAUGAGCUCCUCAGGAAGAGGUAGGGCUUUGUGUGGACUUUCUCUACUUAUGGCAAAAUGUUGAAGGGUUCAGCCUUGUGCUGGUAUAUAUCUAUCAAUGACUACUAGGGAUUCCUGAGUGCAGUGGUUGUGCCACAACUGGAUAACAAUAUUUCAUAGCACCUUUCCCCACAUUUCUUCUGCCUCUCCUGAUGUUCCCUGGGGUUUGGGUAUAUAUCAUAUAGAUGUCUCAUUUAGGCAUAAAUGCUUAUCAGUCACUUAUUCUCAGUGUGACUUUUUAACUGACUUGGCUUCUUUUAUUCAGCCUAUGGAAUUUUAGGCACACAUAUACAUAUGUAUUUGUAUGUAGUUGUUUGUUAUUUUUAUGGCACCUUGUUUUCCAGUAUGUGCAUAAACUGUUGUCUCUCAGUGUCUGAGGGAAAUUGAAUCUAGAGCUGAUGAAAAUGAUAAAAUCUGUGGCUGCUCAUAUGCCUCACAUGCAUACAACAUGUUAAAAUCCUCCUCUAUUUUUUAAAUUGUCUCCAGAUUACUUAUAAUGUCAAGUCUAUGCUAAUAAUUGUUAUAUUAUAUUGCUUUGUGAAUAGAGACAAGAAAAGCCAAUACAUGCUUAGAACAGAUGGUAUGUUUAUAAAAAUAGUUUGGAUUCACAGUUUGUUGAAUUCACAGAUGUGGAACCUGGACAUAUGGAGUGUCAACUCUGCUACAAUUUAUUCUACCCAUCCAUCUGUUGAGGAAAUUUUGCCUUAUUUUCAAUUUAUGGUUCUUGUAAAUAAAGCUGCUAUGAACAUUUGGCUUUAUAUCUUUCUGUGGACACAUGCUUUCUUCCUGUGUGGUAAAUACUUAGGAGUGCAAAAGCAUGGUCACAUGUAGAUUUAAAAUAUAGACAUUAUAAGAAAUUGUUAACAUGUUUUCCAAAGUGACUAUAAAUGCUCUUUUUCCACUGACGGUGUGAUAGUUUUAUCUUCUGUCACCUGGCCCACCUUUGUUAUGGUUACUCUUUUCACUUGUGACCACUCUCAAGAGCGAGCAGAGAGACUUUUUCUAUCCUUUUAUUUACAUUUUCCUGAUCAUUAAUCAUGUACAGCAUGUAUUCAUGUUUUUGUCUGGCAUUGGUAUAUCUUCUUUUAAACAUCACAUUUUCAAAACUUUUACCCAGUUACUUAUUGGAGCGUUACUUCUCAUGACUUUCAUCAUGUUAAAACACUUAAGAUUUUUUAGCUGUACAAUUUGUUAACACAGAAUGUAAUAGUGCUUACUAUAGGCACAAAAAGGGUCAAUAGAUUUUUCGGAAAUUUAGCGUCUUGCAAAAUUAAACUUUUUACACAUAAAACAAUUUUCUUUUUGCCCUCCUCUCCUAACUUCAAGAUAACCACCAUUCCAUAUUUUGUUUCUACAUAUUUGAACAUCCUAUGUGUGUCACAUACCUAGAGCAGUGCCUAUUUGUCUUUUGUGACAUGCUUAUUUUGUAUUAUAUUUCCAAGUGUCAUCAUAUUAUAAUAUAUGAUAGGAUUCCAUAUCAAAGGUUUAAUAACUUUUCAGUGUAUUGAUAUUUAAUCAUUUUAAAGUUACUGGAUUAUAUUUAUUGGACUAUAUCAUACACAGUUCAAACCAUCACAUAAAUGAAUAGGCAUAUAAAUGCAACCUGCUGAGUCUGUUCAGUGUAUGUUUUUAGGGUUGGCCACUUGAUAUUGGAGAAUCAAUUAGAGGACUCAUUCUUGGAAAAGACUAAUUCUCCCACUCUCAGUAGUUCUUGUUUAUAGUUCUUAAUAUAGGAAUAAGAGACCUAUGGUAUUUUCCCCACCCGUGUUGGACUAUCAGUUGGUGUUGUCAUUGUGCAGGUCUUCUUUAGAGAGACACAGUGUUUAGAUUUCGUGUGUGAGAUAUCUUUGUCCUAUAUAGAGUAUACAGCCUCCCAGCAGACAUCCUGGUCCUCUAGCUCUUACAAUAUUUCUUCUCCUUGAGCCUGACUAAGGUAGGUAUAGAGUUAUACUGUAGAUGUAUUAGUUACAGCUGGGCACUCAAUGGUCAGUUGUUUUCUUCAUUUAGACCAGAGGGAGCUUUUUAUAAUGGUUUCCAUCUGUUGAAAAGAAGAGCUUCUUGGGUAAAAAUCUCUUCUCUGUGGGUCUGAGUUGUAGACCAUAGUUAGGAAUUGUGCUUGUCUAGUAAAGUUGUGCUAGUAGGUUCUCCUCUAGAUCUGUGAGCUCCCUAGCCCCAAGUGGGUGGCUAGGUUCCAGUAGCAGGCAUGAUUCUCCUCCUGUUGACUACUCCUCAAGUCUGAUUAGAGAACUGAUGAUUACCACCAAGAUAUACAUGCUACUACUGCACCUUGGAAACAUCUUGCCAUGCUUGCCAUCGGUGUUCAUAGGCAUCAUAGUUGGGUAAGACUAUUGAUUACUUUUCUUGUUUGUCAGUUUCCAUAGAACCUUCUGGUACUGUAAAAGCUACUCCUCCAGGAGGAGGUUUUAAAUCAAACCCAGCUUGGAUCCCGAGUCUUAUGUCUGAAGUAUGUGUUGUCUUCAACAAUGGGGAUUUACCUUCAGAUUCUGGGAGGCAACUAAGGCCAGCAUCAAUAGCUUAUAUAAUCUGAGGAGUUUUUUACUCACCUGACCAAGAACUUGAAAGAACAUUAUGCCUGGCACUGUUUUUUUUUGUUUUUUUUUUUGUUUUGUUUUUUUGUUUUUUUUUGGUCAGAGAGUCUAUGACUCUUGGAGGCAAGCAAAAGCAAGUGUCAUAACUCCAUUUAAAUAUUCUCUCUCUCUCUCUCUCUCUCUGUGUGUGUGUGUGUGUGUUCUGUAGGGUGAUGUUUUUGUUUUUUCUUCUAGCACUUUCAGGCUUUAAUUAAAGUCUUUGAUCCUUUUAGUUUAGUGCAAGGUGAUAGAUACAUAUCUAAUUUCAUUCUUAUGGAUGUGGUGAUUCAAUUUUCCCACUUGUUGACUAUGCUUUCUUUCAUUCAGUGUAUGCUUUUGGCACCUUUGUACAAUAUAAAUGGUUGGAGCAGUAUGUUGCCAUGUCUGGGUCUUUGAUUUUGUUCCAUUGUUUUCCAUGUCUGUUUUUGUGCCACUACCAAUCUAUUUUCAUUACUAAGGCUCUGUAACAUAUCUUGAAUUCUGUAGUAGCCCUACAGCAUUGUUUUUGGGUUUUGGGAUUGCUUUGGCUAUUGAGAGUCUUUUAUGUUUCCAUAUACAUUUUAGGAUUUUUUCCCAUUUCUUGUGAUGAUUAUAAUUAGGAUUUCAUUAAUUUUGUAAUUGCUUUUGUUCAAAUGGUCAUUUUCACAAUAUUAAUUUCUACCAAUUUACUUUGCAGUAUAUUUUGUUAAGAUGAAGAAAGACAUUUGUUGAACCCUGUCAGAUGGUGGUGAUUAAUAAGUAAAACCAUAUAUAUUUUAUUUGAAGCUAAUUAUCACUCUCUUUGUCAUAAACUAAAUUAUAUUUACCUAAGAAAAAUAAAAAGGAAACUAUUGUUUUUAAAGGGUAAUCAUUGGAUUUUCAUUGCUGUGAUAAAACACCAUGGCAAAAGCAACUUAUGAAACAAAGAAUUUAAUUGGGCUUAUGGCUUUAGAGUAGAUUCCAUGGUGGCAUAAAGAGGAGAUAUAGCUUUGGGCCAGAGCCUCAGUCUUAAGCCAUUUAACUCUAGUUGACCUUGGAUAAAUUUCCAGACUUCAUCUGCCUCACAACAUCAGUGGGAGAUCAGACCAUAUAUGCAUACCCACCAGCCAAGCCUAGAGCAUGGAAAAGUGUGAUAUCCAUCAGAAAAAUCACCAUCAGUCAUAAAAGAGAACACAAUUAACCACAGGACAUCAACAUUAUCUUAGCACCUAAGUUGUCUAAUGAACAUAAACAUGAUUAUCAACUGUUGAGUAAAUAUUACUCCUUGUGGUGAUUGGAAUGAGCCCCCUCCAUAAGUCUUGUACAUUUGAAUAUUUAGUCCCCAGUUGGUGGAACUAUUUGGGAAGGAUUAGGGGAUGUGGCCAUGUAGAAGGAGGCGUUUCACUUGGGGGUGAGCUUUGAGUUUCAAAUGGCCACCAUUCCUAGUGAGAGAGUGCAUUGUUCUAAGAGCAAGUAGCAUUCCUGAAUGGUGUGAUCUCUUCCUCCUACCUGCAAUGUUGUCAUUGUGACAUCAUCAAUUGAUAAACCCUCACUAGGGACCAGAGCAGUGUUUAACUUCAUAUUUUCCCUAACCUUGGACUUGAACAUCCAGAAUUUUGAGCAAAAGACCCUUUUUCUGUUUUUAAAUUAGCCUGCCUGAGGUGUUUAUUUCAUUGUAGUAACAAAGUACACUAAUGUAGGAAUAAAAACCAAUUACUCUCCACAUCCAAUCAACUGAAGACCUGAUUGGAAGGAACCUGCUUCCACUUCAUAAUACUGCAGCACUUAAUAAUGGCACUGAAGGAUGAAGGCAGUAAGGCUGAGGGGGCAUUUGGCCCUACACCUGCUGACUGAAGGUGCCCUACUUCUACUCGAGUGCUUUGAAGAUGUAAGGUAGGGUUUAUUGUUGUUGUUGUUGUUGUUGUUGCUGCUGCUGCUGUUAUUGUUGUUUUGCAUUAUUCUUUUGAACUAGAGCUAAAAUAUUAGUAAUUUCUGGGUAGUGACCUAUGGAGUAUUUGACUUGCAACCACUCUAUUGGUCUUCUUUGUUAUGAUUUCUGAAAUGCAAAUAGAAGAUCUCAUCCUGCCACUGGACAAAUUCCAACAUGGCUGACUUUGGAGUCCCAUGAGGAAUCUACUAUUGAUGGGGGCGGGGUAACAUAGAAGUCCUUUUCUACCCAUAGUUUUUGUUUUCUAGAGUUCUAGUCACCCAUGAGCAACUGUCAUCUGGAAGAAAAACAAAACAAGAAACUGAAACUCCAUGAGUUUCAAAUCACUUGCUAUCCUGAGAACAAGAUGCUGCCUGGAAGUCAGUAUUCUGCUAGCAGUCUUCAGAUGAAGAUAUAGAACUCUCAGCUUCUGUGCCUGCCUGGAUGCUGCCAUACUCCUGCUUUGAUGGAGAACUGGGAAGAUGGCUUGGUGAUUGAAAACACUUGCUACUACAUUUCCUGAGGUUUGGAGUUUGGAUCCCAGCAAUAACUGUUCGAGAACCCUGCUAUUAAGCGAUCUCUGGAAAUCCUUCCAUCAUACUCACAGCCCUCCAAACCCUGCUCAUCACUUCUGCUCCCUUUGUCCUCGAGGACCCGUGGCCAGUGACCCUUGAGGAGAAGGGAGAACCCCAAACCACAGUGGGAUGCUAAGAACCACCUGUAACUCCAGCUCCAGUUAAUCCAAUACCUGGCCUCCAUGGGCACAUGGAUGGUACACAUACAUUGGUGAGGCUCUCUGCCUUUAUCAGAGAAGCAUGUUUAUCAGUGAGUGACAGUGAAAACAGAUAUUCCAUAACUUGCCAGAGUGCUAAGAUCAAAGGAGUGCUAAGCCCUAAAUAGGACAUCUGUAUCACGUACUCAGAGACCCAGGAAACAUUGCCAAAGAAGGGCUAAAAAGGCUUUAAGAGCUGAAGGAUGGGGAGUAGGACUCUACAAAGCUGUCGUCUGGAUAUGGAGUUAAGGAACACAAAGCUGCUGUGGACACAAGCAGAAGACCUGACUAUGGAAACAGAAGACAUCCAAGUAGGAGGGACACUAGUUUGGAAGAACCAGCUCAGUAGGGAUGGGAAGGACAAAAGAAGGCUUUAAUGAGCAAGAGCAUAUUCUGUGGCUGUUCCCAGGGCCCUGGACCAAAUGUGACUCUGCUUUUGUACUGAAUCCCAGGGGAGACUCUGGAGCUUGAGUGCUGGACAGUUUCACUGUCUGUCACCUUGCCUCCCCUCUGGACUCAUUGCUGGAUUAAUUAGGUAGGCGUUUUCCCUACAUGUCUUUGUGUGUUCCAUGUGUAUGCAGUGCCUACUGAGCCAGAAGAGGAGCCAGCUCAUCUGGAACUGCUGUGACACAGUAUUUUGAGGCCACCACUGGAAGCUGAGAAUUGAACCCAGGCCAGCCGUGGUGGCGCACGCCUUUAAUCCCAGCACUCGGGAGGCAGAGGCAGGCGGAUUUCUGAGUUCGAGGCCAGCCUGGUCUACAAAAUUCAUCUCCGUGCUUUGAACUUGUGUGGAAAUUAGUCCUUUUGGAACCGUAAAGAUCGAGAUACCAAGUUAAUGGCCACUCGUGAAGCUCCAGAAGAACAUCAAAGAAUUCAAUGAUGCAGACCACUUUAUGGAAGUCAAAGGCAUUGCUCCAUCCAACUUCCAUGCUAUAACUUGCUAGCUUCUGCUAUGACCUUAAAUUACAGUGACUUCAAGGAGUCCUGUAGAGCUGCUUUCUGGACAACAGAAAGGAAAACAAACCUGUAGAGCCACAUUGUGCUUAAGAAAUUGUUCUGUGCUCCUGAGUUAUGGCAUAUACUAUGUCAUUCUUUCUAUAACUUUAACAUUUUCCUAUCACAGAUGAAAUACUGGCUUCAGACGACUUCUGCUUCAGCACCUGCCACAAACUUCCGCAAAGGUAAAGAGAAGAGAAUCAAAUCGCAUUAUAUGCUGGAGAUGCAGGACAAGUAAACACAGCAAACAUGUUGAGCAGAUCAAGUCUCAUACAGCUACAACACAGAAGCUGACGUCCUUGUCUGUGCCACUGAGCUAGGAGAUUAACUCCAACUUCUAAUACGGUGUAUCUGAAACUGGAUUCAGAUUUGAACACCUCUUCAAGAGGUAGUCACUGAUCCUUGAGUUCAAAUGUGAGCUCUCAGUUCUGCUCCAGCCACCACGUCUUUGUUGCACCAUCAUGGACCCUGAUUCUCUGGAUCUGUAAGCUAUAAACAAGCCCCUCCUUUUACAAGUUAUUUUGGUUAUAGUUUAAUCACAGCAGUAGAAAAUACAUUAUCCAUGUGAGUAGGUUUUCUGAAUGCCCCAGUGUCUCCCGCCUCUGGGCACAGCCUCUUGGGGAGGCAGAACGCAGAGAGAACCUGGGUGGGUGCUAGGCUGUAGGGAAGCACUAGGCUCUAGGGAUGGGAAAGCAGAGUCUGAGGUGUGGGAAUGCUGGAGAUGGUUCGGGAGUCCCGGGCCUGCAACGAUGCUGGGGCCAUGGGGUUCUCAGGCUCUUGGACAUCCAGGUGCUGCUGGGAUUUGCAGAAGAGCAGAGAAUGGAGUGGGGAGAGGGGCCAUGGGCUGGGGACAGCGGCUAGCCCAGGGCCAGGGGAAAGGGGAGCUCUGGCUUGUCCCAUGGGUGAUUGUCCUUAGCUUGGUGGGGGCAGGCUAGGUGGAAGUCGUGGCUGGGAGCGCAGAGAGGUCUUCUAUGGGAGAAUUAAGCUGCAUCUCUGCUGUCAGUGUCUUCUCUGAGGCUCCCCUUGGUGGAUCUUGGUGAAGAGACACUCCACGGUUUAUUGUCAGUUUAUUGUCAUGGCAGUUUAUUGUCAUGGCAGAAUAUGGGUACGUAAAACCAUACCCCACUUCUCAGGGUGGGCCUGAGAUUAAAUGCCUUUUGCAGGAAGGAAUGUCUGGGAAGGGAAGCUUAUUGGCUAAGCCCUUCGGGUCUCUAGGUACCUCAUUAGCAUAGAGAACUCUAUUUGGGCCUACAUGACCAAUGAACACAUUUCUUUAAGUGAGGAGUGUGGCAUGUGUUCUAGGCCAGGAGUCUGGCAGGGAGCUGGGAGUCGCCUAAGUCUCCUGUGUGUGCCCACUGAGUCUCUGGGUCUCAACCCGCUCUACCUUACCAAACUUCCUGGCAUGGAUUUAUGCCCCACACCCAGGUGUUUGGAACCCCCAGGUGCUCAUGUGUUCAAAUAAUAGACACCACAGAGAACAAGAAAACAGUCACCUACCGGAGUGGAGUCAACAGGUAGAAUACUGAAAGAAUGAUGGCUAUACUGACAGACAUAAAUAGCAAAAAUAUUAUGUUUUUAGUAAACGUUCCUCCCCCAUGUGAUUUGCUGUUAUUAAAUGAGAAUUGAAUUAUUUUAUCCUGUGAGGCUCAAUAAAGCUUUCCUAUAAUUUUAACUAAAA